rnacentral:lncRNA from 1 species
UGACUAAAUACAUCAUGGAGUUAUGGUACCUAGGUCUACAACUGCAUGCAGAUGGUGACAUGCUCAUAUGAGAAGCCUCAGAGGACAGCGAAUGAAAUGCAACCAGCCUGAGAAUUUCGUCUGGAACAAAGUGCACACAUGCACAGAGUGAAUUCUGGCCAGCUCCAUUGAACAGUGUGUGAUGAGGAGUGGGGGAGGAAGACACAGAUCAGGAGAUACUAUUACAGUGCUGGGGACCAGGAACAACCAUCCAUGCCUUUGUCACUGCAGGCUAUUGAUACAUACUAUUAAAAACUACAUAAGACAACCCAGCUGGAAAUCAGAGCUGAAGAAUAAUAAACCAGCUUGGUAAGUUUAGUUCCUUUUAGAAAGCACAUAAAACUUGUGCACUGUUACUUGUAUUGAUUUUCCAUUGGUUUCCAGUUAAAUUUUUAGACAACAUUUUAAAGCUUAAAUCCGUAAAUGAGUCAAAACAAAUCAAAUUCUCAAGGCCUCUGGCCAGCACAGAGGCACCAAGUUCACAUACAUGCACAAAAUCCCAUACAGACAGCUGAUGCCAUCUCAGUGUGAUUUGUUAUGUUUACAACAACCAUUUGAUAACAGUUGUGAAUUUUUAGAUGAUUUUAAAAUGCAUAGAAACUUAAGUUAGUCUAGAUCCUUCUAAAAUGCAUAGAAACUUAAUGUAGAUCCUUCUUUCUUUCACGGCAGUAAAAACCCCAGGGCAAGUUACAGGAGUUACCACUCCAGUUUUCAUGAUCAAAGUAUUUUACAGUUACUUUUGCCAAGUGAGGGAUCCAGAGAAUAAAUUUUGUUUAAAUAUCUAGUAUAGAAAUUGU